rnacentral:tRNA from 1 species
GCGGAUGUGGCGAAAUUGGCAGACGCGUCGGCCUUAGGAGCCGAUGUCUUAGACGUGUGGGUUCGAGUCCCUUCAUCCGCACCA